GUGUGUCUGAAGGGCAAACGGGAUAUCCGAUUGAUAGAGGAAGUUGUUCGGGUUGAGAGAUCAAAUACUAUUGUCAUUGAACGUAAAGCUGACAAUGAUUCAAGAAAUAGAAGGCGUCGUCAAGCAAAAAACAAAAAAAGGGACGAUGAAUGGAGGCUAGAUACACAAUGGGGUUUCUAGUUGAGGAAGUGUCAUUGACUUUUCUUCCACCCUUUUGCUUUAGCUUCACAAGAUGCACUUGAGUAUUCACCCUCAUUAAUCUAGGGCCUGGCAAUCGAUUACCAUGCAUGGCAGAUAGUAGUUGGCAGAAGAAUGCUCUGCAUAUCUCUUACCUUCAAGUACACUCACUCACACACGUACACGCACACAGGUGAAUAGGUGAGGUCGCAACGCAAGAUUGAAGCACUCAACUCCGGGGUUUCAAACCGACGAGAGGAGUUGACUUGAGAGUCCCGACCAGAAAUCAGAAAA